AUUAUGAUUAUAGUAACUGAUCAAAGUUUGGAUUUUGCAUUUAGAGCAGCAGAGGUUGCAAUGGCAUAUGCCUUGACUUCAUCUAUGUGCCCAAUGGAUAAUGUACAUGUCAAAGAUGAUUCUAACUUUCAAAUGCAGAUAAUCAAAUCACCUUGGAGAAGAAUGGUGCUUGAUUGUACGCAUGGUUGCCGAAUGCCAUAGGUAUUUUAUUGCAUUACCCAGCCAUGGAGCAUAGCUUGACUCAGCUAGUAGACCUUAUAUCUUACAUGCAACACCACGGGCACUCAGUUGAAGCUUCUUUAUGUGGAUCUUGGAUAUACAAGCAGCAUUGUUUUCCUGGAGCAGCUAUGUGUCCAGUUUAGUAUGCCAUCAGAUGAGAUAUAUUAUUUUGGGGUUUAAAUAAAACUCAUCUAUCUUAUUCGUGUAUGUAUUUUUUGGUAAAUUAUGAUGGCACAUGAUGUUUAUUUGGUAUUAGACAUCUAUGAUCUAUAGGAACAAUGUAGGAUAGACUAUUGAUUGGUUGACC
rnacentral:lncRNA from 1 species